GUCCAUGCCGUAAACGAUGUCUACUAGCCGUUGGGGCCUUUGAGGCUUUAGUGGCGCAGCUAACGCGAUAAGUAGACCGCCUGGGGAGUACGGUCGCAAGACUAAAAACUCAAAAUGAAAUUGACGGGGGCCCGCACAAGCGGUGGAGCAUGUGGUUUAAUUCGAUGCAAACGCGAAGAACCUUACCUGGUCUUGACAUAGUAAGAACUUUCCAGAGAUGGAUUGGUGCCUUCGGGAAUCAGAACACAGGUGCUGCAUGGCUGUCGU
rnacentral:rRNA from 1 species